GAUGAACGCUAGCUACAGGCUUAACACAUGCAAGUCGAGGGGCAGCGCAGUGUAGCAAUACAUGGGCGGCGACCGGCGCACGGGUGCGUAACGCGUAUCCAACCUUCCCGUUACUCUUGGAUAGCCUUCCGAAAGGGAGAUUAAUACAAGAUGGUAUUCAAAUUCCGCAUGUUAUUUGAACUAAAGAUUUAUCGGUAACGGAUGGGGAUGCGUGACAUUAGGUAGAUGGCGGGGUAACGGCCCACCAUGCCCACGAUGUCUAGGGGUUCUGAGAGGAAGGUCCCCCCACACUGGAACUGAGACACGGUCCAGACUCCUACGGGAGGCAGCAGUGAGGAAUAUUGGUCAAUGGUCGGAAGACUGAACCAGCCAAGUAGCGUGAAGGAUGACAGCCUACGGGUUGUAAACCUCUUUUGUCCGGGAAUAAAACGGGGGACGUGUCCCCCUUGAAUAAGCCACGGCUAACUACGUG
rnacentral:rRNA from 1 species